rnacentral:rRNA from 1 species
CCAGCCCGCUCAGAAACUUUAAAUGAAUUGACGGGGGCCCGCACAAGCGGUGGAGCAUGUGGUUUAAUUCGAUGAUACGCGAGGAACCUUACCUGGGCUCAAAUGUAUGUUGACGUAUUCUGAAAGGGAUACUUCUUCGGACAAUAUACAAGGUGCUGCAUGGUUGUCGUCAGCUCGUGCCGUGAGGUGUCCGGGUUAAGUCCCAUAACGAGCGCAACCCCUAUCAUUAGUUGCCAUCAGGUCAAGCUGGGGACUCUAAUGAAACUGCCUACGCAAGUAGUGAGGAAGGUGGGGAUGACGUCAAAUCAGCACGGCCCUUACGUCCAGGGCUACACACGUGCUACAAUGGCCGGUACAAAGGGCAGCUACCUGGUGACAGGAUGCUAAUCUCAAAAGCCGGUCUCAGUUCGGAUCGGAGUCUGCAACUCGACUCCAUGAAGUUGGAAUCGCUAGUAAUCGUGGAUCAGCAUGCCACGGUGAAUACGUUCCCGGGCCUU